AGAACAACUGCUGGGAAAGCUUUGUGAAUAGCAGAGAGAGCUUGCUUAGCCCACACUACAGGCCAAAGAACAGUUUUUUAGGGAGAAUAUGAUACCUCUGUUACAGAGGGCUGUGGAUGAAAUAAGAAAAAGAAAAAAAGAGUACACCUAAAAUGAUAGGGAAGGCUGCCUGCAAGCUUUAUGCUGUAACCAGAGGUUAGUGAAGGAAGACCAGAGAAGAGAAGAAAAAGAUUUUUUUCUCAUCAGAAGACAGUGCUCAAGGAAGGAAAACAGCUGAUAUGAAGAAGAGUGGGUUAGAGAGUGAAAAGAAGAACAAAUAUCAUGGAAGUAUCAAGGGAUGAAAAUGGCCAUCCAAGUGCGCUCAACUCAAGCGUUCCAUCAGAAUGAAAAGGCUGGCAAAGGAUGAGUCCAUUCCCAUACUCUGACAGGAUAACAAUGACUACUACCCUGUUCCUUUGUUUAAGUGCCUUAGGAAUAUGAAUGGUGACAGUGAUGACCAAAACCCAAGAAUCAAGAUGGGGAGAAAGUAGAAGGAAGAUUUUCCAGCUCACCAGGUGCUGCACUCUGAAGCUGAGCUACACCUGAACUCAAGGGUCUUUGGAAGCCAGGAACCACUCUUCCUCAAAGGCAUUUUCAAUACUGUCACUUUGGAUUUGGACUUACAGACUCAGAUCUCCUUGUGGAAACCAUCUCAAAGUUUCCUGUCAAGAAUUGAGUAGUGUUGAUUCUUUUUCCUUACAAAAGAAAGAUGGUUCCAUCACCCAUUUUCUUUAUUAAAAUAUAAUAAUUCAGGGCACUUUGAAAAUAAAAGAAAAUUCAGUGCAGUCAGCAUACUGCAAGAUCUUUGUAUGGCAACUUGAACAACCAGCAAAAUCUUCUACUGGUUACAAUCGAGAUUAUCUGCAUCUAUCCUGAAGAUGUCCUCUAAUCUUAGUAGUCUCUUUGUUUUUAUGUCACCACAACUGGUGCUUUAAAGGCCAAUAAAGUUACUGGGAGAUGGUUCAGUGACUAAAAGCACUGUAGUUAUCUUACAAAAUGAAUCUGUAAAACGAACCUGAACUUUUCCAAAUACCCUAUUAAAACUGCUCUAUAGAUUAAAGGCUGUGUGAACCACUAUAAGGGAACAGUUACAUCAUGGCCUGGACUGAUGACUGAGCACCAGGUGAGCAGGAUGACUGGCCCAGGAAGCACAAGUGGAAGCAAUUCACCUGUUCUUACCACAUGACUGAAAGGAGUGGACUGACCUGUGAGUCUCACCAGUCUCACCUCGGGAAGAUCGUGGAACAGAUCCUCCUAGAAGCUAUGCUAAGGCACAUGGAAGGCAGGGAACUGAUAUGGAAGAACCAGCAUGGCUUCACCAGGGGCAAAUCCUGUUUAACCAAUCUGGUGGUCUUUUGUGAUAGUAUCAUUGCAUGAAUGGACAAGGGAAGGGCCAUUGAUAUCAUCUAUUUUGACUUUAAUAAGGCCUUUGACACAGUACCUCACAACACCCUUCUCUCCAUGUUGGAAAGAUAUGGAUUUGAUGGUUGGACUGUUUGAUGGAUGAAGAACUGGCUGCAGAAUCGAGUCCAGAGCAUGUCCACAGAAGAGCUACAGAAAUGAUCCAUGGAAUGGAACACCUUCCCUACGAGGACAGGCUUAGAGAGCUGGGGCUGUUCAGCCUGGAGAAGAGAAGGCUGCAAGGUGACCUGAUAGCAGCCUUUCAGUUUAUAAAGCUGAUAUCAAGCUAACUGCCUUAGAUGUAAUGGACUCUGCCAGCGGAUCAGAAAAUAAAAACAACGGAAGAGAAGAAAGAUGCCAAAUGUUUUUGAGGUACUCUCCAGCAGUGAAAUGAAUGAUUUUAGUCAAAUGUGCAUUGUGGAUGCUGGAUGGAUACGUCAGCCAGAUCUUUGGGCAUGUGAAUCUCUGUACAUCUACACAUCUCGCGUCUUCCCUUCUUCUUGCCUCAAGUUUGGAGUCCACUUUCAAGCUGCAACCUAACAUUCAUCCACUUCUUCAAUAGCCUUUCUCCAGCCUCUUUGGAAAAGCAGACCCUUUGUACAGUGAUUGAAACUGAACUUACAUCUCCCAGUCUUGUGUUUUAUAAGUGAAUGCCAUGAGCAAACAAAUCCUAAACUGAGGCUCAGACCAAGAAGACCUGGACUAUUAAAAUCUCUCAUUGUGGAAAUUCAGAAUUAGACACACAUCAUCUCUAGUACUGAACAAUCAGGACCUUCUAAGUAAGAUUAUGCUCAGAAUUUUAUUCAGACAUCUGGGGGAGAACAUCCUUUAACUACAUGUAACAUCUUUGGUUUUGAAUAAUAAGUCCUUUAAAGCAGGUACCGAGCAUAAAUUAUCAUCUAUUAUCAAACAUAAGUUUCUCUAUACCAGCUUUCAUAGUGCAUCUGUUAAAUAAAUGUCCAUUAUUGCUUCUUUUUAGUAGGUAAGCUUUAUAGUAUUUUCCUUUAGCUGAAAUCUAUAUUCAAAUUAAUUAAGUAUUUCAGAUGAAUAAAGGCUGAACAGUUAAAGAAAUCUACAAGCUUUCCAGGGAUUUUAAAUGCUUUUAAUGCAACUUCCUUUUGAAAGGAAGGAAGAAGAAAAGGAUCACCAAAUACUUGAAUAUUUGGAGAAAAAAAAAAAAAAAAAAAAAAAGGAAGAUGACAGGUGUAUGAGCAGAAAAAAAGUCUUGUACUGGAGAGUGCUGGGAGACAUAGAAAUUAUAGGUUUUGUUUGUCAAAGGAGAUAUUAAAAUUUCACCGUAUUUUUUUUAAUACAGGCUCAAAGUCAAUAGCUUUAAAGCAACUCUGAAAGUGAACUCUGGCUAUAGACAGUAUGUUGCUAUGGAAUGGUUUCCACUGCUCAUUAGAAAAAGUUUGUUGCUAUUGCUACAUAGUGUAUCAAAACUGAGUAACUAGUAGUGCUUAGUUCAUCAACAUACAAACUAAUAUGAAUAAAUGAAGGUCAUAUUAUUUCUUGCAAUUGUUUCCUUCAAGCAACAGUUAAGUCCUUCCUGACUUUUAGGAGAGUACAGAAUUGUAAUUCAGAACAUAAACUUUUUCUUUGCCCUAAGUGUGACUAAAAUUGAAAAUAUUUGAUUUAUUUGUGUCUAUAUUAGUGUCCUGAAUCAGUAACUUGUGGGUAAUAUGUAAAGUAUUUUUCAGUGAGACUCACCACCAUGACUCAGUCAAAG
ensembl:lncRNA